rnacentral:rRNA from 1 species
UACGUGGGGGGCAAGCGUUGUUCGGAAUUACUGGGCGUAAAGGGCUCGUAGGCGGCCAACUAAGUCGGAUGUGAAAUCCCCAGGCUUAACCUGGGAACUGCAUCCGAUACUGGAUGGCUUGAAUUCGGGAGAGGGAUGCAGAAUUCCAGGUGUAGCGGUGAAAUGCGUAGAUAUCUGGAGGAAUACCGGUGGCGAAGGCGGCAUCCUGGACCGAGAUUGACGCUGAUGAGCGAAAGCUAGGGGAGCAAACGGG